GAGAACACAGGGGACACAUGGAUCUCAAAGACUGUCUCCAAAGUGCUGAAAAUACUCCCAGGUUUAUAUGAGGAAAAUGUGGGAAAAAAGUCAGUGGGUACAUGCAUGGGUGGGCAGUAAAGG